rnacentral:lncRNA from 1 species
AUGACGGCUGCGGCACGUCUGGACUUUCAUUUCGGCGCCCAUGUAAACAGGUUAGAGCAUUCACUGCCUGCAUGGGACGUGCGUCAGGCGCUCUUCAGCCGCGAGUCAUCUAGAGUUUCGGCCUGGAGCCUAUUUUUCACUGGUGAGACUGCACUCACAUCACAAUCAGGCAGUCACUUCUUAUUUACACUUACAUUUACAUUUAGUCAUUUAGCAGACGCUUUUAUCCAAAGCGACUUACAUAUGUGCGACUUACGAUGUAUACACAUUUUACAUUUACACUGAUGGCACACUGCACAUCAGGAGCAAUUAGGGGUUCAGUGCCUUGCUCAAGGACACUUUGACAGGGAAUCGAACUAGCAACCUUCUGAUUACUAAACGACUUCUUUACCUCCUGUACCACUGUCGCCCAGUUAUUAGUCUGAGCUCUAGCGGCAAGUCCAGCCAACAAGACCUUGUAGCUGAGGCGGCAGCCAACCUGCAGCCCAGAGUCGACAGAGAGGAAAGAGGGUAAGAUGUAUUAGAUUAGAUUCAACUUCAUCCUCAUUGUUGGUCGAGAUGACGUCACUGUUUAUGGCUCAGUCCGAGCCACUGUGUUUUGUUUCCCAUUUCUAGAGCCAGGACAGUAAAUGUCUGUGAAGACACUGUGUGUAUUUUUUCUGCUCAGACACUGGAUUUAACCAAACCUUUCAUGGCUCAGCCCAUUAUUCAUCUUUGACCACACCUUUAACACUUUCCUGAAGCAUUAAUCAUCUUUGACCUUUAACUUUUUUCCUGAAGCAUUUCUACUGUCGCAACAAUGCACAUGCGCCAAACUAGGGUCCAAUGUAUGUAUUAUAUAGGCGCUCUAUAAAUUAAUGAAAUUUAAGUUUAGUAACCAAACUACAUGAAACAUGUUUAUUGUUAAAAGUGCUCAUUGUAUGAACAUUCUGCACGCCGUUUUAAGGCCUGUAAAUUGUGGGGUGUGUUCUAUCUGGCUGUUUGCCAAAACCAAUCAGAAUGAACUAUUCCCUCUUCUCUAACUCCCUUUAGACCCCCCCUGUGUGUGUGUGUGUGUGUGUGUGUCGUGUCUGGAUCCCCUGACACCCCGUGCAGACGGACUCUAGUUUGUCUGGACCCGGUGAACCCCGAGUACAGAUAGCCCUAUCGUGCAGACGAACGCACUGUAUCCGCACACUGUAUCCGCACUCCCUCGAAUCGGGGGUCCAAAGUGAGUAACCUCCGAAUCCGAUUGCUGUUGGUGUUCGUCUGCACGCUAUCCGCAUACCUAAUCGGAUUGCCCCAC